GCUCUUAUGCUUGCUGUUAUGGUCCCGUCUGUCCGACAGAUCCCUAACUUUCAAGUCCGUCACAUCCUACAGAAGUUCUGCCAAAGAAGAAAGAGUAGCAUCCUUUGCAUUCAGCAGCAGAAAGAGACCAGUGUCUGGCAGAUGACCAAGAAACGAUAAGAAUGUUGACAGCAGGUAUUUGCAAUCAAGGGUGAAAUGUGACCGCCAGCAAAGCACAAACUCUUCUUCACAAGCUGGGAAUUUGAUCAGCAAGGAUCUUUAACUUGCCAUAAUCUGUCCUACUAGGAGGGUCACUAAUUUUCUGUGGCUAUUAAAGGAAAGAGAUUCAGGAAU